GGAGAGGUGGCUGAGCGGUCAAAAGCAACAGACUGUAAAUCUGUCGGUUACUACCUACGUAGGUUCGAAUCCUACUCUCUCCA
rnacentral:tRNA from 1 species